GAGCUAAUACAUGCCAAAAACCCCGACUCGCGGAGGGGUGUAUUUAUUAGAUAAAAAACCGACGCCCUUCGGGGCUCACCGGUGAUUCAUGAUAACUUCACGAAUCGCAUGGCCUUGCGCCGGCGAUGGUUCAUUCAAAUUUCUGCCCUAUCAACUUUCGAUGGUAGGAUAGUGGCCUACCAUGGUGUCGACGGGUGACGGGGAAUUAGGGUUCGAUUCCGGAGAGGGAGCCUGAGAAACGGCUACCACAUCCAAGGAAGGCAGCAGGCGCGCAAAUUACCCAAUCCCGACUCGGGGAGGUAGUGACAAUAAAUAUCGAUCCAGGGCUCUUAUGGGUCUUGGAAUUGAAAUGAGUACAAUUUAAAUCCCUUAACGAGGAACAAUUAGAGGGCAAGUCUGGUGCCAGCAGCCGCGGUAAUUCCAGCUCUAAUAGCGUAUAUUAAAGUUGUUGCAGUUAAAAAGCUCGUAGUUGAACCUUGGGCCUGGCUGGCCGGUCCGCCUCACCGCGUGCACUGGUCCGGCCGGGCCUUUCCUUCUGGGGAUCCGCAUGCCCUUCACUGGGCGUGUCGGGGAACCAGGACUUUUACUUUGAAAAAAUUAGAGUGUUCAAAGCAGGCCUUUGCUCGAAUACAUUAGCAUGGAAUAAUAGAAUAGGACGAGCGGUCCUAUUUUGUUGGUUUCUAGGACCGCCGUAAUGAUUAAUAGGGAUAGUCGGGGGCAUCGGUAUUCAAUUGUCAGAGGUGAAAUUCUUGGAUUUAUUGAAGACCAACUACUGCGAAAGCAUUUGCCAAGGAUGUUUUCAUUAAUCAGUGAACGAAAGUUAGGGGAUCGAAGACGAUCAGAUACCGUCGUAGUCUUAACCAUAAACCAUGCCGACUAGGGAUCGGGCGAUGUUUCCAUUUU
rnacentral:rRNA from 1 species